rnacentral:rRNA from 1 species
UACGGGGGGGGCAAGCGUUGUCCGGAAUUAUUGGGCGUAAAGAGCUCGUAGGCGGUUGGGUAAGUCGGGUGUGAAAACUCCAGGCUCAACUUGGAGACGCCACCCGAUACUGCUCUGACUUGAGUUCGGUAGGGGAGUGGGGAAUUCCUGGUGUAGCGGUGAAAUGCGCAGAUAUCAGGAGGAACACCGGUGGCGAAGGCGCCACUCUGGGCCGAAACUGACGCUGAGGAGCGAAAGCGUGGGUAGCAAACAGG